rnacentral:rRNA from 1 species
UACGUAGGGGGCAAGCGUUGUCCGGAUUUAUUGGGCGUAAAGAGCGUGUAGGCGGUUCGGUAGGUCCGUUGUGAAAACUCGAGGCUCAACCUCGAGACGCCGAUGGAAACCAUCGAACUAGAGUCCGGAAGAGGAGAGUGGAAUUCCUGGUGUAGCGGUGAAAUGCGCAGAUAUCAGGAAGAACACCCGUGGCGAAGGCGGCACUCUGGGACGGUACUGACGCUGAGACGCGAAAGCGUGGGGAGCGAACAGG